AACGCGAAGAACCUUACCAAGGUUUGACAUGCAGGGAAAAGCCGUAGAGAUACGGUGUCCGUAAGGGCCCUGCACAGGUGGUGCAUGGCUGUCGUCAGCUCGUGUCGUGAGAUGUUGGGUUAAGUCCCGCAACGAGCGCAACCCUUGUCCUUAGUUGCCAACAGGUAAAGCUGGGAACUCUAGGGAGACUGCCGGUGAUAAGCCGGAGGAAGGUGGGGAUGACGUCAAGUCCUCAUGGCCCUUACGGGUAGGGCUACACACGUGUUACAAUGGGCAGUACAGAGGGAAGCGAAGCCGCGAGGUGUAGCAAAUCUUUUAAAAGCUGUUCGUAGUCCGGAUUGGAGUCUGCAACUCGACUCCAUGAAGUUGGAAUCGCUAGUAAUCGCGGAUCAGAACGCCGCGGUGAAUACGUUCCCGGGCCUUGUACACACCGCAUAC
rnacentral:rRNA from 1 species